rnacentral:rRNA from 1 species
UACGUAGGGUCCGAGCGUUGUCCGGAAUUACUGGGCGUAAAGAGCUCGUAGGUGGUUUGUCGCGUUGUUCGUGAAAACUCACAGCUCAACUGUGGGCGUGCGGGCGAUACGGGCAGACUUGAGUACUGCAGGGGAGACUGGAAUUCCUGGUGUAGCGGUGGAAUGCGCAGAUAUCAGGAGGAACACCGGUGGCGAAGGCGGGUCUCUGGGCAAUAACUGACGCUGAGGAGCGAAAGCGUGGGGAGCGAACAGG